rnacentral:rRNA from 2 species
GGUAGAAUUCCAGGUGUAGCGGUGAAAUGCGUAGAGAUCUGGAGGAAUACCGGUGGCGAAGGCGGCCCCCUGGACGAAGACUGACGCUCAGGUGCGAAAGCGUGGGGAGCAAACAGGAUUAGAUACCCUGGUAGUCCACGCCGUAAACGAUGUCGACUUGGAGGUUGUGCCCUUGAGGCGUGGCUUCCGGAGCUAACGCGUUAAGUCGACCGCCUGGGGAGUACGGCCGCAAGGUUAAAACUCAAAUGAAUUGACGGGGGCCCGCACAAGCGGUGGAGCAUGUGGUUUAAUUCGAUGCAACGCGAAGAACCUUACCUGGUCUUGACAUCCACGGAAGUUUUCAGAGAUGAGAAUGUGCCUUCGGGAACCGUGAGACAGGUGCUGCAUGGCUGUCGUCAGCUCGUGUUGUGAAAUGUUGGGUUAAGUCCCGCAACGAGCGCAACCCUUAUCCUUUGUUGCCAGCGGUCCGGCCGGGAACUCAAAGGAGACUGCCAGUGAUAAACUGGAGGAAGGUGGGGAUGACGUCAAGUCAUCAUGGCCCUUACGACCAGGGCUACACACGUGCUACAAUGGCGCAUACAAAGAGAAGCGACCUCGCGAGAGCAAGCGGACCUCAUAAAGUGCGUCGUAGUCCGGAUUGGAGUCUGCAACUCGACUCCAUGAAGUCGGAAUCGCUAGUAAUCGUGGAUCAGAAUGCCACGGUGAAUACGUUCCCGGGCCUUGUACACACCGCCCGUCACACCAUGGGAGUGGGUUGCAAAAGAAGUAGGUAGCUUAACCUUCGGGAGGGCGCUUACCACUUUGUGAUUCAUGACUGGGGUGAAGUCGUAACAAGGUAACCGUAGGGGAACCUGCGGUUGGAUCACCUCCUUACCUUAAAGAAGC